rnacentral:misc_RNA from 1 species
ACGUCUGCUGAAUCAGUUGUGGGGU